rnacentral:rRNA from 1 species
UGAGUAACACGUGGGUGAUCUGCCCUGCACUUUGGGAUAAGCCUGGGAAACUGGGUCUAAUACCGAAUAGGACCGCGCUCUUCAUGGGGUGUGGUGGAAAGCUUUUGCGGUGUGGGAUGGGCCCGCGGCCUAUCAGCUUGUUGGUGGGGUAAUGGCCUACCAAGGCGACGACGGGUAGCCGGCCUGAGAGGGUGACCGGCCACACUGGGACUGAGAUACGGCCCAGACUCCUACGGGAGGCAGCAGUGGGGAAUAUUGCACAAUGGGCGCAAGCCUGAUGCAGCGACGCCGCGUGAGGGAUGACGGCCUUCGGGUUGUAAACCUCUUUCAAUAGGGACGAAGCGCAAGUGACGGUACCUAUAGAAGAAGGACCGGCCAACUACGUGCCAGCAGCCGCGGUAAUACGUAGGGUCCGAGCGUUGUCCGGAAUUACUGGGCGUAAAGAGCUCGUAGGUGGUUUGUCGCGUUGUUCGUGAAAACUCACAGCUUAACUGUGGGCGUGCGGGCGAUACGGGCAGACUAGAGUACUGCAGGGGAGACUGGAAUUCCUGGUGUAGCGGUGGAAUGCGCAGAUAUCAGGAGGAACACCGGUGGCGAAGGCGGGUCUCUGGGCAGUAACUGACGCUGAGGAGCGAAAGCGUGGGGAGCGAACAGGAUUAGAUACCCUGGUAGUCCACGCCGUAAACGGUGGGUACUAGGUGUGGGUUUCCUUCCUUGGGAUCCGUGCCGUAGCUAACGCAUUAAGUACCCCGCCUGGGGAGUACGGCCGCAAGGCUAAAACUCAAAGGAAUUGACGGGGGCCCGCACAA